rnacentral:rRNA from 1 species
AGAGUUUGAUCCUGGCUCAGGAUGAACGCUAGCGACAGGCUUAACACAUGCAAGUCGAGGGGCAGCGGUGGUGAAGGCUUGCCUUUACCAGCCGGCGACCGGCGCACGGGUGAGUAACACGUAUGCAACCUGCCUGCCACAGCCGGAUAAUCGGGAGAAAUUCCGUCUAAUACGGCAUAAUGCACCUAUGGGACAUCCUGUUGGUGCCAAAGGUUGAUUCCGGUGGCGGAUGGGCAUGCGUCGCAUUAGUUAGUUGGCGGUGUAACGGACCACCAAGACGACGAUGCGUAGGGGUUCUGAGAGGAAGGUCCCCCACACUGGUACUGAGACACGGACCAGACUCCUACGGGAGGCAGCAGUGAGGAAUAUUGGUCAAUGGGCGGGAGCCUGAACCAGCCAAGUCGCGUGAGGGAUGACGGCCCUAUGGGUUGUAAACCUCUUUUGCCGGGGAGCAAAGUGCCGCACGUGUGCGGUUUGGAGAGUACCCGGAGAAAAAGCAUCGGCUAACUCCGUGCCAGCAGCCGCGGUAAUACGGAGGAUGCGAGCGUUAUCCGGAUUUAUUGGGUUUAAAGGGUGCGUAGGCGGACGCUUAAGUCAGCGGUAAAAUUGCGGGGCUCAACCUCGUCGAGCCGUUGAAACUGGGUGCCUUGAGUGGGCGAGAAGUACGCGGAAUGCGUGGUGUAGCGGUGAAAUGCAUAGAUAUCACGCAGAACUCCGAUUGCGAAGGCAGCGUACCGGCGCCCAACUGACGCUGAAGCACGAAGGCGUGGGUAUCGAACAGGAUUAGAUACCCUGGUAGUCCACGCAGUAAACGAUGAAUGCUAGUUGUCCGGGGCGAUUGAGUUCUGGGUGACACAGCGAAAGCGUUAAGCAUUCCACCUGGGGAGUACGCCGGCAACGGUGAAACUCAAAGGAAUUGACGGGGGCCCGCACAAGCGGAGGAACAUGUGGUUUAAUUCGAUGAUACGCGAGGAACCUUACCCGGGCUCAAACGCAGGAGGGAUGUUUUUGAAAGGAGGCAGCCAGCAAUGGUCUCCUGCGAGGUGCUGCAUGGUUGUCGUCAGCUCGUGCCGUGAGGUGUCGGCUUAAGUGCCAUAACGAGCGCAACCCCUACCUACAGUUGCCAUCGCGUGAUGGCGGGCACUCUGUGGGGACUGCCUGCGCAAGCAGUGAGGAAGGCGGGGAUGACGUCAAAUCAGCACGGUCCUUACGUCCGGGGCGACACACGUGUUACAAUGGCAGGUACAGCGGGAAGCCACCCGGCGACGGGGCGCGGAACCCGAAAACCUGUCUCAGUUCGGAUUGGAGUCUGCAACCCGACUCCAUGAAGCUGGAUUCGCUAGUAAUCGCGCAUCAGCCACGGCGCGGUGAAUACGUUCCCGGGCCUUGCACUCACCGCCCGUCA